rnacentral:misc_RNA from 1 species
GAUGAAGAACGUAGCGAAAUGCGAUAAGUAAUGCGAAUUGCAGAAUUCCGUGAGUCAUCGAAUCUUUGAACGCACAUUGCGCCCUCUGGUAUUCCGGGGGGCAUGCCUGUUCGAGCGUCAUUAUAACCACUCAAGCUCUCGCUUGGUAUUGGAGUUCGCGAUCUCGCGGCUCCUAAAAUCAGUGGCGGUGCCUGUCGGCUCUACGCGUAGUAAUACUCCUCGCGAUUGAGUCCGGUAGGUUUACUUGCCAGCAACCCCCAAUUUUUACAGGUUGACCUCGGAUCAGGUAGGGAUACCCGCUGAACUUAAGCAUAUCAAUAAGCGGAGGA